rnacentral:rRNA from 1 species
GACGAACGCUGGCGGCGUGCCUAAUACAUGCAAGUAGAACGCAGUUGCGAACGGGUGAGUAACGCGUAGGUAACUGCCUCAUAGCGGGGGAUAACUUUUGGCAACGAUAGCUAAUCCCGCAUACUGGGAGAUGGACCUGCGUGGUAUUAGCUAGUUGGUGGGGUAAAGGCGCACCAAGGCGAGGAUACAUAGCCGACCUGGGAGGGGGGUCAGCGAGACUGGGACUGAGACACGGGCCAUACUGCUACGGGAGGCAGCAGAAGGGAAUCUUGGGGAAUGGACGGAAGGCUGACAGAGCAAAGCCGCGUGAGUGAAGAAGGGUGUCGGAGCGUAAAGCUCGGUUGUUAGAGAAGCGGUAACUAACCAGAAAGGGACGGCUAACUACGUGCCAGCCGCCGCGGUAAUAC